CUCUGAUGCAGCGAUGCCGCGUGAGUGAAGAAGGCCCUUGGGUUGUAAAGCUCUUUCGUCGGGGAAGAAAAUGACUGUACCCGAAUAAGAAGGUCCGGCUAACUUCGUGCCAGCAGCCGCGGUAAUACGAAGGGACCUAGCGUAGUUCGGAAUUACUGGGCUUAAAGAGUUCGUAGGUGGUUGAAAAAGUUAGUGGUGAAAUCCCAGAGCUUAACUCUGGAACUGCCAUUAAAACUUUUCAGCUAGAGUAUGAUAGAGGAAAGCAGAAUUUCUAGUGUAGAGGUGAAAUUCGUAGAUAUUAGAAAGAAUACCAAUUGCGAAGGCAGCUUUCUGGAUCAUUACUGACACUGAGGAACGAAAGCAUGGGUAGCGAAGAGGAUUAGAUACCCUCGUAGUCCAUGCCGUAAACGAUGUGUGUUAGACGUUGGAAAUUUAUUUUCAGUGUCGCAGGGAAACCGAUAAACACACCGCCUGGGGAGUACGACCGCAAGGUUAAAACUCAAAUGAAUUGACGGGGACCCGCACAAGUAGUGGAGCAUGUGGUUUAAUUCGAAGAUACGCGCAGAACCUUACCAACACUUGACAUGUUCGUCGCGACUCUAAGAGAUUAGAGUUUUCGGUUCGGCCGGACGAAACACAGGUGCUGCAUGGCUGUCGUCAGCUCGUGUCGUGAGAUGUUGGGUUAAGUCCCGCAACGAGCGCAACCCUCACUUUUAGUUGCCAUCAUUAAGUUGGGCACUCUGAAAGAACUGCCAGUGAUAAGCUGGAGGAAGGUGUGGACGACGUCAAGUCAUCAUGGCCCUUACGGGUUGGGCUACACACGUGCUACAAUGGCAUCUACAGUGAGUUAAUCUCCAAAAGAUGUCUCAGUUCGGAUUGGGGUCUGCA
rnacentral:rRNA from 1 species